UAAAUGAAGAAAUACCAUCCUUGCUCUGCGAGUCGUUGAGCAAUCACUUGAGAACUCUGAUG
rnacentral:misc_RNA from 1 species